GUUGCGGUUUAAUUCAACAAUACGCGGGGAACCCUACCAGGGCCGACAGCAGAAUGAAGGUCAUCCUAAAUGGAUUACUUGACGCGCUGAGAGGUGGUGCAUGGCGGUCGUCAGCUCGUGCCAUGAGGUGUUCUGUUAAGUCAGAGAACGAGCGAGACCUGCGUCUUCAGUUGCCACCGUUCUUAUUUGAGAGCGAGCACACUGAAGAGACUGCAUUCGAAAGGAUGAGGAAGGUGCAGGCUACGGUACGUCUGUAUGCCCCGAAUGUCCUGGGCUACACGCGACAUACACUGGUUGAAACAGCGGGUAGCGACUCCGAAAGGAGAAGCCAAUCCCUUAAAGUCAAUCUGGUUCGGAUCGAGGGCUGCAACUCGCUCUCGUGAAGCCGAAAUCCCUAGUAAUCGUAUGUUAUCAACGUACGGUGAAUACGUCCCUGGCCCUUGCACUCACUGCCUGUCAAGUCAACCGAGCAGGGUUAUGGUGAGGAUUUGUUUUCGGGCAGAUUCAAAUCAUAGCUCAGUGAGGCGGAUUAAGUCAACACAAGGUACCUGUAGGGGAACCUGCAGGUG
rnacentral:rRNA from 1 species